CAUCACCAUGUAUGUCUGCGUACC
rnacentral:siRNA from 1 species